rnacentral:rRNA from 1 species
GGUGACUAGCUACUGAAUCAUAGAAUUUUUAAAAAUUCAUGAUGUCGUAAGGGAAAAUAAUGAUAAUACCUUACUAUGAGUGUCGUCCAAAUCUGGUGCCAGAAGACUCGGUAAGACCAGAGACGCAAACGUUAAUCAUCAUAAACAGGCGUAAAGGGUUUGUAGGCAGCUAUCAGCAAACUAUAAUUUCAAAAUAAAGUAGUCUAAUUGUAUAGCUAGAAUCAAAAAGAGGUUAUAGUGUAUAACGCCUAGAGGAGGGCUGAUAUCCUUAGAUCCUAGGCAGAAUACUUAGGGCGAAGGCCACUUUCCACUAAUGAUUGACGCUGAGAAACGAAGGUUAGGGUAGGAAAUAGGAUUAGAUACCCCGGUACUCCUUUCUGUAAACGAUGAAUGGUAGUCAUUAGUUUGUUUUUUUUUUUAAAUAACUAGAGACGAAGUUAACACAAUAACCAUUCCGCCUUGUGAGUACUACUGCAAAGUAAAAAACAAAAAAAUUAGUCGGUCUCGAAGCAAACGGAGUGAAGCAUGUUAUUUAAUG